AGGACUAUAGCUCAGUUGGUUAGAGCGCUACCUUGACAUGGUAGAGGUCCCCAGUUCGAAUCUGGGUAGUCCU
rnacentral:tRNA from 1 species